rnacentral:rRNA from 1 species
UGGGGAAUAUUGCACAAUGGGCGAAAGCCUGACGGAGCAACGCCGCGUGAGUGAAGAAGGUUUUCGGAUCGUAAAGCUCUGUUAUCGGGGGCGAAAGGUGAGACUGUGAAUAAUGGUUUCAUAAGACGGUACCUGAUGAGAAAGCCACGGCUAACUACGUGCCAGCAGCCGCGGUAAUACGUAGGUGGCAAGCGUUGUCCGGAAUGAUUGGGCGUAAAGGGUGCGUAGGCGGCAACGUCAGUCUGAAGUAAAAGGCAUUGGCUCAACCAAUGUAAGCUUUGGAAACUGCGUAGCUAGAGUGCAGGAGAGGUCAGUGGAAUUCCAUGUGUAGCGGUAAAAUGCGUAGAUAUAUGGAGGAACACCAGUGGCGAAGGCGGCUGACUGGCCUGCAACUGACGCUGAAGCACGAAAGCGUGGGGAGCAAAUA